AUUGAACGCUGGCGGCAGGCCUAACACAUGCAAGUCGAGCGGGGUUUUCGGACCUAGCGGCGGACGGAUGAGUAAUGCGUAGGAAGCUACCCGAUAGAGGGGGAUACCAGUUGGAAACGACUGUUAAUACCGCAUAAUGUCUACGGACCAAAGUGUGGGACCUUCGGGCCACAUGCUAUCGGAUGCGCCUACGUGGGAUUAGCUAGUUGGUGAGGUAAUGGCUCACCAAGGCGACGAUCCCUAGCUGGUUUGAGAGGAUGAUCAGCCACGCUGGAACUGAGACACGGUCCAGACUCCUACGGGAGGCAGCAGUGGGGAAUAUUGGACAAUGGGCGCAAGCCUGAUCCAGCCAUGCCGCGUGUGUGAAGAAGGCCUUCGGGUUGUAAAGCACUUUCAGUAGGGAGGAAGCGUUGUGUGUUAAUAGUACACAGCGUUGACGUUACCUACAGAAGAAGCACCGGCUAACUCUGUGCCAGCCGCCGCCGUAAGAC
rnacentral:rRNA from 1 species